rnacentral:rRNA from 1 species
GAUGAACGCUAGCGGCAGGCUUAACACAUGCAAGUCGAGGGGUAGAGGAAGCUUGCUUCCUUGAGACCGGCGCACGGGUGCGUAGCGCGUAUGCAAUCUACCUUAUACAGGGGGAUCACCCAGAGAAAUUUGGAUUAAUACCUCAUAGUAUUACGAAAAGGCAUAUUUUUGUAAUUAAUGUUCCAACGGUAUAAGAUGAGCAUGCGUCCCAUUAGCUAGUUGGUGUGGUAACGGCACACCAAGGCAACGAUGGGUAGGGGUCCUGAGAGGGAGAUCCCCCACACUGGUACUGAGACACGGACCAGACUCCUACGGGAGGCAGCAGUGAGGAAUAUUGGUCAAUGGGCGCAAGCCUGAACCAGCCAUGCCGCGUGCAGGAUGACGGUCCUAUGGAUUGUAAACUGCUUUUGUACAGGAAGAAACACUCCCUCGUGAGGGAGCUUGACGGUACUGUAAGAAUAAGGAUCGGCUAACUCCGUGCCAGCCGCCGCAGUAAGAC